AGAGUUUGAUCAUGGCUCAGGAUGAACGCUAGCUACAGGCUUAACACAUGCAAGUCGAGGGGAGACGACAUCGAAAGCUUGCUCUUGAUGGGCGUCGACCGGCGCACGGGUGAGUAACGCGUAUCCAACCUGCCCAUCACUUGGGGAUAACCUUGCGAAAGUAAGACUAAUACCCAAUGAUAUCUCUAGAAGGCAUCUGAAAGAGAUUAAAGAUUUAUCGGUGAUGGAUGGGGAUGCGUCUGAUUAGCUUGUUGGCGGGGUAACGGCCACCAAAGCAACGAUCAGUAGGGGUUCUGAGAGGAAGGUCCCCCACAUUGGAACUGAGACACGGUCCAAACUCCUACGGGAGGCAA
rnacentral:rRNA from 1 species